rnacentral:rRNA from 1 species
GUGGGGAAUAUUGGACAAUGGGCGAAAGCCUGAUCCAGCCAUGCCGCGUGUGUGAAGAAGGUCUUCGGAUUGUAAAGCACUUUAAGUUGGGAGGAAGGGUAGUAACCUAAUACGUUGCUACUUUGACGUUACCGACAGAAUAAGCACCGGCUAACUUCGUGCCAGCAGCCGCGGUAAUACGAAGGGUGCAAGCGUUAAUCGGAAUUACUGGGCGUAAAGCGCGCGUAGGUGGUUUUGUAAGUUGGAGGUGAAAUCCCCGGGCUCAACCUGGGAACUGCCUCCAAAACUGCAUGACUAAAGUACGGUAGAGGGUAGUGGAAUUUCCUGUGUAGCGGUGAAAUGCGUAGAUAUAGGAAGGAACACCAGUGGCGAAGGCGACUACCUGGACUGAUACUGACACUGAGGUGCGAAAGCGUGGGGAGCAAACAGGAUUAGAUACCCGGGUAGUCC